GGGCUAUUAGCUCAGUGGUAGAGCGCGCCCCUCGGGCGAGGUCUCUGGUUCAAGUCCAGGAUGGCCCA
rnacentral:tRNA from 1 species